rnacentral:rRNA from 1 species
GACGAACGCUGGCGGCGUGCUUAACACAUGCAAGUCGAACGGAAAGGCCCUGCUUUUGUGGGGUGCUCGAGUGGCGAACGGGUGAGUAACACGUGAGUAACCUGCCCUUGACUUUGGGAUAACUUCAGGAAACUGGGGCUAAUACCGGAUAGGAGCUCCUGCUGCAUGGUGGGGGUGGGAAAUUUUCGGCGGUUGGGGAUGGACUCGCGGCUUAUCAGCUUGUUGGUGGGGUAGUGGCUUACCAAGGCUUUGACGGGUAGCCGGCCUGAGAGGGUGACCGGCCACAAUGGGACUGAGAUACGGCCCAGACUCCUACGGGAGGCAGCAGUGGGGAAUAUUGCACAAUGGGCGGAAGCCUGAUGAAGAAACGCCGCGUGCGGGAUGACGGCCUUUGGGGUGUAAACCGCUUCCGCCUGUGACGAAGCGGGAGUGACGGUAAUGGGUAAAGAAGCACCGGCUAACUACGUG